AUAGCGUAUAUUAAAGUUGUUGCAGUUAAAAAGCUCGUAGUUGGAUCUCGGGUCCAGGGUCGCGGUUCGUUUUGCGACGAUACUGCCCGUCCUGACCUACCUCCCGGUUUUCCCCCGGUGCUCUUCGCUGAGUGCCUCGGGUGGCCGGAACGUUUACUUUGAAAAAAUUAGAGUGCUCAAAGCAGGCAGUUUGCCUGAAUAACCGCGCAUGGAAUAAUGGAAUAGGACCUCGGUUCUAUUUUGUUGGUUUUCGGAACUUGAGGUAAUGAUUAAGAGGGACAGACGGGGGCAUUCGUAUUACGGUGUUAGAGGUGAAAUUCUUGGAUCGCCGUAAGGCGAACUACUG
rnacentral:rRNA from 1 species